ACGGACCCGACACCGGGCCCCGACGAGACGCGCCGUACCGGGGUGAGGCAAAGACGACGCACU
rfam:Streptomyces sp. AVP053T2 APS67_contig000003, whole genome shotgun sequence.